AUGCCUGAGGGCGGGCAGGAGAUGGAGAGGCCAAUGGCUGUGAGAGCGCCUCACCUGGCCUGCUUCCUGGGCCCAGGUAUGCUAGUGGCUCCGCCCCCGGCCCUGCCCAGCCCCGCCCCAGGUCGGGGCUCCGGGAGCGGAAAUUCCUGCGCGGGCGAGGCGGAGCGGGUGCCGUCCGAGAGGCCGAACUUGACCAUGGAGCCAGUGGCGACCUGGACCCCCAGGAAGGUGGCGGCUUGGCUGAGAGGCCUGGACGAUUCCCUGCAGGACUACUGCUUUGAGGACUGGGAGCUGCCUGGCAAGUACCUGCUACAGCUUUGCCCCCGCAGCCUGGAGGCUCUAACCGUGUGGCCUCUGGGCCACCAGGAGAUCAUUCUGGAAGGGGUGGAACAGCUUCGGGCGCUGAGCUCAGGGCUACAGUCAGAGAACCUGCAGAGCCUGACAGAGGGGCUGCUGGAGGGAACCCGGGCAUUCCAGAGCUUGGUCCGAGGUCGCCUGGGGGGCUGUGUGGAGCCCCCUGCAGAUGUCCUGGGCGCGGCCGUGCAGCUGGUACAUGAGGCCCGUUCCCUCCUCUUCUGGCUCAACAGGUACCUCUUCUCCCACUUAAAUGACUUCUCAUCCUGCCAGGCGAUUGGGGAAUUAUGCGGGGAGCUGGGCCAGGCCUUGCAGGAGGACUGUCCAGCGGCUGAGAAGGAAAGCAAAGUCCUGAGGAUUAGCAGCCAUGUGGCCGGGGUCUGCUGCAACAUCCUGAGCUGCUGCCCGGAGGAGCUGCUGAAGCAGAGGGCUGUACUGGAGCGAGUGCCACUGGACGAUCCUGCGGGCCUGGAAAUCCACACCACCAGCAACUGCCUGCACUUCGUGUCUCAAGUGGGCACCCAGGUCCCCACCGAAUCCCAGCUGCAGGUCCUGCCCGGAGAUGAGAUUGUCCAGGUCAAUGAGCAGGUGGUGGUGGGCUGGCCCCACAAAAACGUGGUGAGGGAGCUGCUGCGGGAGCCGGACAGGGUCAGCUUAGUGCUGAAGAAGGUCCCAGUGCCGGAGACCCCACGACAGACCCCUCCUCAGCCCCUGAGCUCACCAUGCCCAGUGAACCCAUCACCGGCUCCAGCCUCGGUGUCUCCCAGGACCCCGUCUAAAGACAUCUUUGACUUCGACCUGCCUUCAAACCCAAGUCCUGGACCCAGCCCUCCUGCCUGGACAGACUCAACCUCCCUUGGCCCCAAGCCCCUGCCCAGCCCCCCUGCAACCACAGCCAUAUACCCAGCAGAGGUAGCAGGCACUCCAGAGCCCCCAGAACACCCUGAUAGGAGUCCUGUCCCUGGCUGCAGGAAAUCAAAAGGCGUGGCGACGCGCCGGCGGGUGUCGUGUCGGGAGCUGGGCCCACCCGACUGUGAUGGCUGGCUCUUGCUCCGCAAGGUGCCCGGGGGCUUCAUGGGCCCGCGCUGGCGCCGCUGCUGGUUCGUGCUCAAGGGACACACGCUCUACUGGUACCGGCAGCCCCAGGAUGAGAAGGCCGAGGGCCUCAUCAAUGUCUCCAACUACAGUCUGGAAAGUGGGCAAGAUCAGAAGAAAAAAUAUGUGUUCCAGCUCACCCACAACGUGUACAAACCCUUCAUCUUCGCUGCUGAUACCCUGACGGAUCUGAGCAUGUGGGUGCGUCAUCUCAUUACCUGCAUUUCCAAGUACCAGUCUCCAGGCCGGGCCUCCCUGCCCCGAGAGGAAGACUGCUACAGCGAGACAGAAGCUGAAGAUCCUGACGAUGAGGCUGGAUCCUUCUCAGCCUCACCCAGCCAGGCCCAAGCUAAGAGUUCGCUCUAUGGAGAUCCAUCACCUGCAGCCACCCCGCAGGGCAGCCCACAGACCUCCUUCAGUCCGGGGACAGACAGCAGCGAAGGGGCCCUCGAAGGAAUGGUCCGGGGGCUGAGGCUGGGUGGCGUGUCCCUGCUGGGCAAGCAGCAGCCCCUCACUCAGGAGCAAUGGCGAAGCUCUUUCAUGCGGCGCAACCGAGACCCCCAGCUCAAUGAGCGAGUGCACCGCGUGCGCGCACUGCAGAGCACGCUCAAGGCAAAGCUGCAGGAGCUGCAGGCUCUAGAGGAAGUGCUGGGCGAUCCCGAGCUCACCGGAGAGAAAUUCCGCCGGUGGAAGGAGCAGAACCAGGAGCUCUACUCGGAGGGCCUGGGGGCCUGGGGAGGGGAGCAGGCGGAGGGCGGCUCCCAAGUCCUGAACUCUGACCCCAAGGAACAGUCUUCCCACCCGCCACCCUCUGACCCCGAGGAGCACUCCCCUCCCUGCCCCCUGACCCCAGAGAGUGACCCCCGACCUCCUGACCUCUAACCUUGGCCAGUACCCUAAGUUCCCGACCUCCGGCCUUGAGGACCACCUCUGACACAUCUAGGACAGAGCAUCCUUGCAUGCUGUUCUGCGUUGGAGGCAGUGCUUGUUGGUGGUUCUGCCCCCAGCUGACCACCUCUGCUCCACCUUCCACUAUUUCUGCUCCUCUGCCCGCCCUGGAAUGGGGUAAAGUGAAGUGAGCUUUGUGCCAAGGAAGGAGCGAGAGGCAGGGGUGCAAGAACUCUUUCUUACUC
rnacentral:lncRNA from 1 species